GACGUAGGGGGCAAGCGUUAUUCGGAAUCAUUGGGCGUAAAGCGCUCGUAGGCGGGAAGGCAAGUCCGUGUUGAAAGACCUCGGCUCAACUGAGGGACCGGCUCGGAUACUGUUUUUCUUGAGGCAUUCAGAGGGUGAUGGAAUUCCCGGUGUAGCGGUGAAAUGCGCAGAUAUCAGGAGGAACACCAGUGGCGAAGGCG
rnacentral:rRNA from 1 species